UACAGAGGUCUCAAGCGUUGUUCGGAUUCAUUGGGCGUAAAGGGCGCGUAGGCGGCCAGCACAAGUCAGUUGUGAAAUCUCCGAGCUUAACUCGGAAAGGUCAACUGAUACUGUGCGGCUAGAGUGCGGAAGGGGCAACUGGAAUUCUUGGUGUAGCGGUGAAAUGCGUAGAUAUCAAGAGGAACACCUGCGGCGAAGGCGGGUUGCUGGGCCGACACUGAGGCGCGACAGCGUGGGGAGCAAACAGG
rnacentral:rRNA from 1 species